rnacentral:rRNA from 1 species
UACGUAGGGGGCAAGCGUUGUUCGGAAUUACUGGGCGUAAAGGGCGCGUAGGCGGCACGGCAAGUCAGGAGUGAAAGGCCUGGGCUCAACCGAGGAACUGCGCCCGAGACUGCUUCUCUUGAGUCCCGGAGAGGAAGGUGGAAUUCCCGGUGUAGCGGUGAAAUGUGUAGAGAUCGGGAGGAACACCGGUGGCGAAGGCGGCCUUCUGGACGGUGACUGACGCUGAGGCGCGAAAGCGUGGGGAGCAAACGGG